rnacentral:rRNA from 1 species
AACGAACGCUGGCGGCAUGCCUAACACAUGCAAGUCGAACGAGACCUUCGGGUCUAGUGGCGCACGGGUGCGUAACGCGUGGGAACCUGCCCUUAGGUUCGGAAUAACUCCCCGAAAGGGGUGCUAAUACCGGAUAAUGUCUUCGGACCAAAGAUUUAUCGCCUUUGGAUGGGCCCGCGUUGGAUUAGCUAGUUGGUAGGGUAAAAGCCUACCAAGGCGAAGAUCCAUAGCUGGUCUGAGAGGAUGAUCAGCCACACUGGGACUGAGACACGGCCCAGACUCCUACGGGAGGCAGAAGUGGGGAAUAUUGGACAAUGGGCGAAAGCCUGAUCCAGCAAUGCCGCGUGAGUGAUGAAGGCCUUAGGGUUGUAAAGCUCUUUUACCCGGGAUGAUAAUGACAGUACCGGGAGAAUAAGCACCGGCUAACUCCGUG